AUCUGCUUUGGCAACGUAUAUAUUAAAAUUGGAACUGUACAGAGAAUAUUAGCAUUACUCCUGCGCAAGGAUGAUGCACAAAACCGUGAGGCAUUAGAUAUUAAU